GACGAACGCUGGCGGCGUGCUUAACACAUGCAAGUCGAACGGAAAGGCCCUGCUUGCAGGGUACUCGAGUGGCGAACGGGUGAGUAACACGUGGGUGAUCUGCCCUGCACUUCGGGAUAAGCCUGGGAAACUGGGUCUAAUACCGGAUAGGAGCCAUUUUUAGUGUGAUGGUUGGAAAGUUUUUUUCGGUGUAGGAUGAGCUCGCGGCCUAUCAGCUUGUUGGUGGGGUAAUGGCCUACCAAGGCGGCGACGGGUAGCCGGCCUGAGAGGGUGGACGGCCACAUUGGGACUGAGAUACGGCCCAGACUCCUACGGGAGGCAGCAGUGGGGAAUAUUGCACAAUGGGCGCAAGCCUGAUGCAGCGACGCCGCGUGGGGGAUGACGGCCUUCGGGUUGUAAACUCCUUUCGCUAGGGACGAAGCUUUUUGUGACGGGACCUAGAUAAGAAGCACCGGCUAACUACGU
rnacentral:rRNA from 1 species